GCUGUUUUAAUUCUCUUUAAUAGGGAAGUAUUGUAUUUUGUGGCAUGCAAGCUUUCAUUUUUCUCCCUCUUCCUUUUUUCCCAUAAUUAUUCCAGAAAUGAUAAUGACCACAGACAUAGUGUGGUUUGUCUAGCACUUUACUUGUAUAUGUUUUAUAAUAAGGUAAUGCAUCGAGCACACAGCCUGAAAGCUGACUUGUUGCCUUGCUGCCCUAAAAGCCUAUGAUUCACAGCAACGUUCCAAAACUGAUUUCAGACAACCUUCUGAGGCAGCAUAAGGGUUUAAUGAUCUACAACAAAAUAGUGGGAGCUUUGAUGAUAACCAAGCAAAUGUUUAAUUACCACAAAUAUUAAUGUCUAAAAAAAAAAAAAAAAAAAAAAAAAAAAAAAAAAAACUUUCAAACUACAGAUUCACAUGCACUGGAUAUCGAUAUAUCAUAGGAAAGGAUACAAUAUGCUGCCUGCUCUGUACACAGGAUGUGACACGAUCAUUGGAUUCAGAUGGAGUCCUUCUUUCAUAAUGUACAGACUUCCUAUUUAGGUUUGGGAUGAGGAAAGAUGUCCACAUCACUCUCUCACUAUAUAAAUUCUCCUCAGUUCCUCUCACAUUCAGAGGCUGGCAAUGGCAGAGUUUAAGCACAUUCAGGACUCCAGCAGCAGCUCACAGAACAACUUUUACUGUGUACUAAAUGAGGACAUUAACAAGAAACCAUCACACACAUGGAAAGGUCGCAUUUGGAAUAAACAGUUUUGCUUUCUUCUGAUGUGUGGCAGUGUCAUACUCUUCAUGGCUCUGUUGAUCACAGUAUCUGUAAAAUGUAAGUUUCACAGAUGCUUUGAUUGUAAGCUUUAUCAUCUACAAUAAACACAGAAGCCAGACCAUGAUUGUUUUUUUGGUUUGGUCUUUUCUAAAAACUCCAUUGGUUGUGAUUUUGAUCAUGUGAAAAUGAGUCUAACUAAGUGUAAAUAGGAAAUACAUGUGCAAGAAUAAACAUGUCUAGGGCCUUGCA
ensembl:lncRNA